AUACACAGCGGGGAAAGCUGGUUUGACGUGGUUUCCCAAGUAGGAACAGAGACCAGGAAGACAUGGCUUGGAGCUCCCACUGUGGUGCAAUGGGAUCCGUACCAUCUCUGGAGCACUGGGACCCAGGUUCCAUCUCCAGGGCAGCACCGUGGGUUAAGGAUCCCGCCGUGCUGCAGCUGUGGCGUAGGUCACAUCUGUGGCUUGCAUCUGAUCCCUGACCUGGCAACUCCAUAUGCAGCGGUGCAGCCAGAAAAGAAAAAAAAAAAGACAUGACUUAAGUCCACGUACCAGCACCAGGCUUGAUGGUCACAGAAGUGCGUGCAUGUAGGCUGCCUGACUCUGCCUCCAGCACUGGGACCAGGCUGCGGACCAGCGUGGAGCUGAAAUGACAUGUGCGGGCCUGGUGGCCAGCCUUGAUUAAAAGGAAGCACGCUGGAAUGAGGCAGCAAGUGGGCCCUGAAAAGAUUUUCCUCUUGUUUUCCCUCCAGAGACCGAGCCAUUUAUUUCAAAUUGCAAGGUGGCAAAUUUAGCUAUGAAAUGCUCUCCGACUUCAGGGGGAUGGAGUGGUUUAGCCUUCCACGAGUAACAGAGCAUGCACACAGCUCAGUGAAGGCCCCCAUGGCUGGGGAUCGUCACCUCGCAAACACCUGCCAAGAUGCAGUUUGAAAAGCAAAUGUGUCAGCAACAGAAGAGGAUGCCACAGGGAGCGGCUCAGUCCCCAAAGCUGGGAUUGGCUGAGCUGCGGCAGCUGUCACACGUCCACAGAAUCUGGGCUUUUCCGAGGACAGUUGAGAACCAGGGCGGAGUGUGACUUUGGGAGAACCUACUGUGCUUUAAAAUUCUUCAUCCCGUUGAACCUCCACAAAGCCUCUGUGAGGUUAGUGCAGCAAGUUGUUUGAUUUUCGUCUAAAAGAGGAAGAAACUGGAACCAAGACAGGCUGAAACAGUUGCUCCAAAGAUGCACAAUUAGGUAAUGAGAGAAUCAAGGCCAUAACAAUGCACUCCUUGUCCCAUCCUCAAACCGAAACUCAGUUCAGAAUCUUUUCAUUUCUGGUGGUUAUUAGGAGAAUUCUCUGUUCAUAGACUUCUCACCCUACACAGCAACCACCAGAG
rnacentral:lncRNA from 1 species